CUGAUAUGGUUUUAGUCUGAUUUAGUAAAAUAAAGCACUUGAAGCUUUCAUUAAUCUUGAUCCAUCAGAUUUUCUUGUUAAAUUUGUUAAAGCACAUUUGAAUUUGUCAUCAGUUGUUCAAGAUCGAGUGUUCUGUUGUUAAAUUCAAACAUGCAACGAUAUCAU
rnacentral:pre_miRNA from 1 species